CAAUGACUUUUAACUUAUAGGUAAGGACCUUGGUUGCUUCACAUUUCCUUCUUGGCGGUGGUGUUUCCCAAAUUCGCUUGCCACCUACUGCUUGGUUUGAAGUGUCGGUAAAACGUGCCUCUCCACCGAUGCUAAUUUCUUGUCGAGCCACCCUUUAUUAAAUACCGCCGAUGCUAAUUUCUUCUCUUUCUUUUGGAUUUUUUACUACUUCUCUCUCUAGACAAUGCUUUGGGUGAGUCUUUUCGACCUCAAAUCGAAGCUACAAUAUUAGGGCUUUUUUAUCUUCUUGUUUUUGUUUGUUGGAUUUUAUGUCAAUCUCCACACAAAGCUUGACUGGUUGUGUUUAUUUUAACAAUUUCAAAUACAUAAGUAGUUGAAUCGAUUCCGCUCACCUUUAUAGCAUCGAUCCCCCAUCCUCUAUAGAAAUUUUUUUUCGGUUAAGUUUGAAAGAGGAAGGUAUACAAGUUUCUAUUCUGUCGGGACAAUUGAUGUCGUCGUAGUGGUCUAGGGCAGCUCAUUCACCAUAAACCAGGCAAGUUGAUGUACCGCAAUCGUGCCUGGCUUAAUCUUCAGAUCGCUAUAACUGAGAAGCAGCAUUUCAUAGCAAUUGUUAGGGAUCUCAAAUUGAUGAAACACAGUUGAUGUGGACACAUUUUUUCAAAUCGGGAUCUCCUGAGGUACCCCAAAAUUUCAAAUAUUUACCUUAUUUCGGGAGCUGACAUGGCGUUCGUCAUGGCUAUCUGAUGUUUUAGCUUGUAAGCAAAAUGGAACUUUCCUUAUAAACAUCAUCACCAGGAUUUUGUUACGACAUUGUAGUAGAUAGAUCAGUUGAAAAGUUCAAGAAAAUUACUAGAGACAUGUUAGAUUUACAUGUCUCUUGCAUUUAAUGGGCAAGAAAAGAGUUAGCAGUAAGUUUUUUUAUGGUGAAUAAAAUCUUUCUUCAUACAUAUUUUAGAUUACUGAUUUUUCUAUAUUUGCUUUUUAGUUUCGUGGUUCUUUAAGCUGUAGGGAAUGGUGUGGAUUUUUGUUGCAUACUUUUACUUUUAUGAAGCUUAUUGAUAUAAGAAUGUACGUAAGUAUCUAUUUCAUUCAUUAGAGAUUAUGAUGAAUACCUAUAAUUGACGUCUGAUGAGGAAGAAGUAUAUAGUUGACUUUAAUUGGGAAGGAAUGGUAAGAGGAAGAAUGUGGAUACUUGUAUGAAAAGAGAAGAAAGAUUUAUUGGGUUAUCAUGGCAGAAUAGGGGAUGUAGGUGUCACGAGGGUAUAAGUUUGGAAAAAUGGGAGUCCUUGUGUUCUUUUUGGUUAUUCGGUUAUAACGGUUAAUCGUUUUCCAGUUGGUAUACGCUCUUUUGAUGUAAUCAUAAACACAAACCCAGAAACAUCAGUCCCUAUGGUGGUUAGUGGCUAAGGGUCAAUUGAUAAAUGCUCUUUUGGUCCAUUACUACAGUCUACAUAUCACAAGAACUUCUAUUAAUGGUCACAUUGAACUACUGUUAUGUACUAGCUUUAUUUAGAUGGGAUCUUUAGGAUAAUGCAUCGAAUUGGGGCCUACAAUUGGAUGUUUGCUCUUAAAAGACAUGUAAAUUUGUAUCUAUUGUUCAUGUUUUAAGUGGUAAAAAAUUUGAUUUUGUGAAUUGGUCUUUUGCUCUUGAAAUUUUGUAGUAACUCGGAAGUUGAGGUUUCAGAGACUCGAAACAAUCUGAAUACCAACAAUAUUAAGGUCUUUCACCCGAGCUUUUCUUCACGAUGUCUCAUGAAAUUUACAUCUAUGGGUUAAUUUUGAAAGUAACAGCAUAUCACAAUCAUAAUUGGAUUUUUGAAGAGCUAACCGAUCAAAAACUUCAUUUAUCGUCUAAUUGGACUAACUUAAUGGACUUGGUAAGUAGAUAUUUAAGAAUUUCUUCUCAAUAUCAUUAAUUAAACUUUUUGUUAUCACACACGUUUAACUAAAGUUAACUUUAGAGGUGUCAGAAGUAUUUAUUUCAAACACCUAUAAUGAGUCUUAUUUUCUAGAUUUCAAUACAAUCUUCAAUUAAAAUUCAUUAGAUUUAUUUAUUUUAGCAAAUUAAAUGUAUAUGUUCUUACACAGCUUCAAACAAAUUGUUGAUGCAUUACAUUAAAAUUUUGAAGUUUAGAAGAAAACCUUUCAUAGGAAAUAAUUUAUAUUUGAACGAUUUUAUUUUUGAAAUUAACGUUUAAUGAGAGGUAUUAUAUAUAUUUUGAACAAUUGUAAUAACUUUUUAUUUUUUAUUAUUUUAUUUUAGAAUGCAACUAAAUAGUGCAUGUCAUAACAAUUUGGAUUAGACUUCAAAAUGUUCGAUGAAUGCUUUCAAGUUCAUUAAACUAUUUUUAAUUGAACAUUUCCGAAAUAUUUAAAAUUUCAUCAACUUUAAUAUGUGAUUAUUUAGGUUUCUUUACAUAGGGUUUUCAUGAUCUUAGCAAUUACAAAUUUUUUUUCCUUAUUUGGAAAAGAACGUUAGUUUAUAUUUGUAUACUUCAUUUUCAAUAUUUUUUUCCCUUUCUUGAAUACUUUCCUUUACUAAGAUGCGAUAUAAGUAUAACUAAAAAUAUUAACAUGUUGUCUAUUGUAUGAAAAAAUACUACUUUUUGAUUGACUGGACCAUCUCAGUGAGCAAAUGACCAUCUUACCCUUCGAUCUACAAGUAAAUUUGAAUAAAAGACGAAUUAUUUGAGAACUACUUUGGUAUACAUAAACCAUAAUGCGUAUGUUGUCUCUUGAAGCAGAUUUGUUACUCUAGGGAUGAUGCUCAAUUGUAAUUGUACCUGAGAUUGGAUAGAAAAGAUUUAUUUUGAAUAAAAGUUAUGUUGUAUCUGGUCACUGUGCAUGUUGUUUGAUAUUCUUUUGGUAAGAAACAAGGAUGACAACAAAAAAGAACAUAAAAUGCAUGUCGGUGAAAAGACUAAAAUGCCCUUGUACUGACAGGCGAGCCAAUAAUUCUAUGCAUUUAGAUGGAUCACAUUGUUAUUGAUUCAGAAAUUCUGACUUUUCUGCCGGUCUUCACAUAUGGAAUACACUCUUAAGUGAUCCUAAGAGACCUGAAGUGAGUCAACCCAUAUUUCUAUUUAUAUAAAUACAAGGGUAAAAUGGUCAUUUACUUUGAUUAUCUUCCAUUUACAAGAAAAUCUCCUUCAUGUUUGUUUUGCAAUGUUGUUCUGGUUCUGAGGCGAUUUCACACCUAAUCUAAGUUAUGAAAGUUACCCUUCCACAAAGAUUGGUCAUUUGCUUCAUCUUGCAAACAAGUUGUAGUCUUGUUAAAUUCACUGAUUCUGAAGGAAUUUUUUAUUAGUAAUAUUAUAAUCAUUUUUACCUUUUUAGGUUUCUUCAUUUUGUUGGUAGUUUUGUUUUAAUUGAGAGAGCUUGAUUACAACGAGCAAUGUAAAUGCAGUAAUGAAAAAAGAAUUUGUGAAGAGACUUGCAUCUACAUAGAGUCAUCCAGGAGGAAAUUGGGAAUUGUCCACAGUUAGGAUCUGGAUACAAGGAUAUGAGCUACGUUGAACUACAGCAAGUAACGAGUAACCAUUUUAGUUUUAGGAUUUUGAGUUCUUGGAUUUGAGAAAAUAAUUAACCAUUAUAUACUUGUCAAUAUAACUGUUAUUAUUCAUUGGAUGUUGUACGAGUAAGAAAA